UACGUAGGGUGCAAGCGUUAUCCGGAUUCACUGGGUUUAAAGGGCGCGUAGGUGGGUAAGUAAGUCAGUGGUGAAAUCUCCGGGCUUAACCCGGAAACUGCCAUUGAUACUAUUUGUCUUGAAUACUGUGGAGGUCAGCGGAAUAUGUCAUGUAGCGGUGAAAUGCUUAGAUAUGACAUAGAACACCAAUUGCGAAGGCAGCUGGCUACACAAAUAUUGACACUGAGGCACGAAAGCGUGGGGAUCAAACAGG
rnacentral:rRNA from 1 species